GCAAGUCGAACGAGAAAGCAACUUCGGUUGUGAGUAGAGUGGCGCACGGGUGAGUAACACUUGGGUAACGUACCUUCUAGAGGUGGACAACUGGGGAAACUCCAGCUAAUACCGCGUACCUCGUAAUUUACUCCGGUUUAUUACGAGAAAGCCGUAAGGCGCUAGAAGAGCGGCCCGAGCCCCAUUAGCUUGUUGGUAGGGUAAUGGCCUACCAAGGCGACGAUGGGUAGCUGGUUUGAGAGAAUGAUC
rnacentral:rRNA from 1 species